AUCUAUAUGACAAAUAAUAUGGAUUCUGAGUACUUUUAUGUGAAAAAAUUGCAAAAAAAGCUACUUCCGGUUUUCUAAAGGUCACUUCCGGUAGCCAUUUUUCAAGGUCAUUUGUCAUUUAACCUUUUGUAUAAGGUCAAAUGUCUUUAUAAUGAACUUAAUUGAAGUUAUAAUCAAAUAACUUCAUAUCAAGACAUUUCAGGGGCAUCAACUCCUAUAAGAUGCC
rnacentral:lncRNA from 1 species